GACGUAGGGCGCGAGCGUUGUCCGGAUUUAUUGGGCGUAAAGAGCUCGUAGGCGGCUUGUCGCGUCGAAUGUGAAAUCUCAGGGCUCAACUCUGACAUUGCAUUCGAUACGGGCAGGCUAGAGUUCGGUAGGGGAGACUGGAAUUCCUGGUGUAGCGGUGAAAUGCGCAGAUAUCAGGAAGAACACCCGUGGCGAAGGCGGCUCUCUGGUACGUGACUGACGCUGAGACGCGAAAGCGUGGGGAGCGAACAGG
rnacentral:rRNA from 1 species